UGGUGGAGUGAUUUGUCUGGUUAAUUCCGUUAACGAACGAGACCUCAACUUGCUAAUUAGCUUCAUUGUGUGCAACAUCUCAAUGUUAAGCUUCUUAGAGGGACUAUUGGCGUUCAGAGCCAGUGGAAGUUUGAGGCAAUAACA
rnacentral:rRNA from 1 species